UACGUAGGGUGCGAGCGUUGUCCGGAAUUACUGGGCGUAAAGAGCUCGUAGGUGGUUUGUCGCGUUGUCCGUGAAAACUCACAACUCAAUUGUGGGCGUGCGGGCGAUACGGGCAGACUGGAGUACUGCAGGGGAGACUGGAAUUCCUGGUGUAGCGGUGGAAUGCGCAGAUAUCAGGAGGAACACCGGUGGCGAAGGCGGGUCUCUGGGCCGAUACUGACGCUGAGAAGCGAAAGCGUGGGGAGCGAACAGG
rnacentral:rRNA from 1 species